GCGGAAGGAUCAUUCAUAAUAAGUGUUUUAUGGCACUUUUUAAUCCAUAUCCACCUUGUGUGCAAUGUCAGUCGAUCUUCUUCAUGGAGAUCGACCAAACAUCAACCUUUAUUUUUUAACUCUUUGUCUGAAAAAUAUUAUGAAUAAACAAUUCAAAAUACAACUUUCAACAACGGAUCUCUUGGCUCUCGCAUCGAUGAAGAACGCAGCGAAAUGCGAUACGUAAUGUGAAUUGCAGAAUUCAGUGAAUCAUCGAAUCUUUGAACGCAUAUUGCGCUCUUUGGUAUUCCGAAGAGCAUGCUUGUUUGAGUAUCAGUAAACACCUCAAAGCUUUUGGAUUUUUUAAUCGAAAAGCUUUGGACUUGAGCAAUCCCAACACCAAUCUUUUUGAGAUCGGUGGCGGGUUGCUUGAAAUGCAGGUGCAGCUGGACAUUCUCCUGAGCUAAAAGCAUAUUCAUUUAGUCCCGUCAAACGGAUUAUUACUUUUGCUGCAGCUAACAUAAAGGGAGUUUGACCGUAUUGGCUGACUGAUGCAGGAUUUCACAAGGGUCGGCAACGAUUCUUGUUAAACUCGAUCUCAAAUCAAGUAAGACUACCCGCUGAACUUAAGCAUAUCAAUAAGCGGAGGA
rnacentral:rRNA from 1 species